rnacentral:rRNA from 1 species
UACGUAGGGUGCGAGCGUUGUCCGGAAUUACUGGGCGUAAAGAGCUCGUAGGGGGUUUGUCGCGUUGUUCGUGAAAACUCACAGCUUAACUGUGGGCGUGCGGGCGAUACGGGCAGACUGGAGUACUGCAGGGGAGACUGGAAUUCCUGGUGUAGCGGUGGAAUGCGCAGAUAUCAGGAGGAACACCGGUGGCGAAGGCGGGUCUCUGGGCAGUAACUGACGCUGAGGAGCGAAAGCCAGGGGAGCAAACGGG